rnacentral:rRNA from 1 species
CUGCGGAAGGAUCAUUAUUGAAUACGAUUGGUACUGAUGCUGGCUCUUAACUGAGCAUGUGCUCGUCCAUCUAUUUAUCUUCUCUUGUGCACAUUUUGUAGUCUUGAACGUACCUCUCGCAGUCAAAUGCGGUUUGGGAGCUUGGGCGCAAGCCCUUCUCCUGCUUCUUCAAGGCUAUGUUUUCAUAUACACUAUAAAGUUACAGAAUGUCUUUUAACGAUUGCGCUUGUCGUAGUCAUUAAACCUAUACAACUUUCAGCAACGGAUCUCUUGGCUCUCCUAUCGAUGAAGAACGCAGCGAAAUGCGAUAAGUAAUGUGAAUUGCAGAAUUCAGUGAAUCAUCGAAUCUUUGAACGCACAUUGCGCCCCCUUGGUAUUCCGAGGGGCAUGCCUGUUCGAGCGUCAUUUACACCACUCAAGCCUGGCUUGGUAUUGGAGUUCGCACACCAGCGGCUCUUACACUCAGUGGCGGCGCCGGUUGGCUCUUCGCGUAGUAAUUCUCUCGCGAUAGGGUCCGUCGGUAGCUUGCCCAGCAACCCCAAUUUUUUAAGUUGACCUCGGAUCAGGUAGGGAUACCCGCUGAACUUAAGCAUAUCAAUAAGCGGAGGAAAAGAAACCAACAGGAUUACCUCAGUAACGGCGAGUGAAGCGGUA